rnacentral:rRNA from 1 species
AGUUUGAUCCUGGCUCAGGACGAACGCUGGCGGCGUGCUUAACACAUGCAAGUCGAACGAUGAACCUCCUUCGGGAGGGGAUUAGUGGCGAACGGGUGAGUAACACGUGGGCAAUCUGCCCUUCACUCUGGGACAAGCCCUGGAAACGGGGUCUAAUACCGGAUAACACUGCGGAUCGCAUGGUCUGCGGUUGAAAGCUCCGGCGGUGAAGGAUGAGCCCGCGGCCUAUCAGCUUGUUGGUGGGGUGAUGGCCUACCAAGGCGACGACGGGUAGCCGGCCUGAGAGGGCGACCGGCCACACUGGGACUGAGACACGGCCCAGACUCCUACGGGAGGCAGCAGUGGGGAAUAUUGCACAAUGGGCGAAAGCCUGAUGCAGCGACGCCGCGUGAGGGAUGACGGCCUUCGGGUUGUAAACCUCUUCAGCAGGGAAGAAGCGAAAGUGA